UUAUUAUAGCAAACGGUCUGCUACCUAGACCUCUUAAAUAAACAUGAGUCGGCGGCUGUCGGCCUCUUUCAACUCGAACUACCUUGUGCUAAAGACGUCUUACCAAACAGCUCCGAAAGUCUACAGCGUGGUAAUUAAAUAAUCAAUAAGUUCUCCGGUAACUUCGAGUCCACCUCAGAUUGAAACUUAUUCGCGGAUAUAAAAGUUGGCGACGAGAAAAGUUAACGUAAAAUAGUGCGCGUGUGAAAACUGAACAAAUUUCCCGAAUUUUCUGGUGUGAUUUCGAGCCGGAGAGUGGUUUUUUUUCUCCCAUUGUUGGAAGUGGGCUGUGUGGAGACAAACCAGCGGCGGCGGCGUAGUACCGACGACAGCCGAUUGCAUCAGCCGGUCCCACUCGGGGAACGUACCAGCAGCAGCAGCCAUCUACAUUUUUCGGACCGCAGCGGAGAAAGUGUUUGUUGUCCAAUCUUUUCGACGCGGCGGCGGCGGAUUUGAUUUCCCGAGAAAGCUGACAACGCAACGGAUUUCUUGGUGGCGGUAGGCAUUUUUUUGCAAUCCGCGAAGGGCGUUUCGCAAAAGCGGUAGAGGUAAGCGUUUAUAAGCUUUUUAUAACGCCAUUGUGUGACAUUAAAAGCAGCACGUUAAUUGUUUUAGUAACGCCAUUUUGUGUCUAGUGAAUUUUGGUGAUAGCACGGAAUGAGAAGUGUUUUAAAUUAAAUUAAACGAUUUUUUCUUAAUAUUUAACGAAGGUGUAGAAGUCCAUCGAUACGGCUCGGCAUUUUUUGCAGCUGUUAGGCCGUUUCGUAGUGUUAGACUCGUUCCGUCUGGAAGAUGAUUUUUGCUGACUGGCCGUGACGUUUGCGGUGACGAUUUCGUUGGUCAAAGCCCGGACUACCGGACGAUUUUCCUUCCUCUUGCUGGAGCGUGCGUCCGUCGGAAGUUUUCUGGUGAAGUUGCCAGGUACCGGAAAUAGGUCGAAUCGCUUUUGAUUACGAUUGGAAGCGGUAUAAUCACCACGGCGCACCGAACUCAAGUUAAGCUCAUAGACGAUGCGGACGGCCGUGCGCGAAGAAGGAUGGUGGUGCAUGUCGAUCGCACUGUCGAUAACCCUGGUCCAUCACUGCCAUCAUCACCGUUACCAUCAACAUCAACACCACGAGAAACGAGUCACGAGGAAGAGCCGAGCGAGGAGCCUUUCCGGGGUUUCCCGGAGUGCGAAUUGCGCGGUGUCGAAUCUCAAGUUGUUAAGCCGAAUCGAAAGCGGAAGUCUGAUGCCAACCUGGUGCUCGAUGGCCUGCCGAGGCGGUCGAAGAGAACAAGAAGAACUAAUCAUAAAAGUGAAUUCGAAUAUUUUUAAUGUUAGAUAAUCAAAUGAAUUGUUUGUUGAGAUUUUUGAUAAAAUCGAUCUUUGUUAAAUAAUAGAUAAACUAUUAACUCGAAAAAAGGAAGGACUAAUAUGUACUUCAAAUGUGUUAAAAGCGAAUAAGUGUGUUCGCCAUAAAAAGUUAUUAUAGCAAACGGUCUGCUACCUAGACCUCUUAAAUAAACAUGAGUCGGCGGCUGUCGGCCUCUUUCAACUCGAACUACCUUGUGCUAAAGACGUCUUACCAAACAGCUCCGAAAGUCUACAGCGUGGUAAUUAAAUAAUCAAUAAGUUCUCCGGUAACUUCGAGUCCACCUCAGAUUGAAACUUAUUCGCGGAUAUAAAACAUAUUGUCCCAUGUUCCAUACGAAUCCCUAUUAACAUGGGACAUCUAUACUGCACACGGCAGUAUAGGAGCUUUUAACACCAGAUUGUGAGGAUCUGUCGACCAAGUUUGUUAUCAGCCGCUUAAGUGCGUUUCGAUAUUUAGCUCAAUUCAAUAUAUUGCAUAACAUAUGUACAUUUGUUAUCAACUUAAACUCAAUGAUAACAUAACUUUUUAUCGCUCUCUUAUUCUCUGUUAUCUCAACGCAUCCUUUGUCCCCUUUGCCUCUCUGAGCUUUCUCUCUGUUGAGCAAUACGUCUACUGGAUUGAACACGACCAUGUUACAAACUCUGGAUAAAAAGUGAGUUUCUAAUACCGUUGGUUUAGCCGUCUAGACUAUUUAGACAUACCGCUACGGCACAUAUGUCCGAUCGUGAAAGGUCGCUGUGUGUUCCACGAAUGGGUGACAAAACGUCAAAGGGACAAAAUGUCGAAGGGACAAAACGUCGAAAGGACAAAACGUCGAAAGUGUGCAAGUGUGCGCAGUGGGUUAGGGACAAAACGUCGAAAGACAAAACGCCGAAUGCCAAAAGGUCGAAAGGGACAAAACGUCAAAAACGUCA